rnacentral:rRNA from 1 species
UACGUAGGGGGCAAGCGUUGUUCGGAAUUACUGGGCGUAAAGGGCGCGUAGGCGGCACGGCAAGUCAGGAGUGAAAGCCCUGGGCUCAACCCGGGAACUGCUUUUGAAACUGCCGAGCUAGAGUGCGGAAGGGGCAACUGGAAUUCCCAGUGUAGCGGUGAAAUGCGUAGAUAUGCGGAGGAACACCGAUGGCGAAGGCAAUCCCCCUGGGGCCUGCACUGACGCUCAUGCACGAAAGCGUGGGGAGCAAACAGG